CUUAAAUUGAAGWUAUGACACUUUGUGACAACUGCUGCUCUAUAGAUACAUUUGAUUGUUUAUUUUUUUUCUCAUCUCAUCUGUCCGUCUCUGUCAAUCUACUUAGUUUGUCGAUAUCUUUCUGGGCCAAGUCAAACAGAGACGUUUUUUUAACAUGACUUUUAGACUCUUUAGUCAAACUCCCCACUAAAACAAACAGUCAGCUACAGUACCUGGAAGGCUGAGAGGCUGUGAUAUACAGAGUGAGGUCUUCAGGUCUUACACAGCAGGUUCAUUCACCAUAGUCUCUCAUGUCCAAUCACAGUCAUGGACUGGGUCUAUUCAAAACUGGUGAGUCUACUGAUGUUGUUUCUAUGGUUGUUUAUGGCUAAUUUUCCAUGUCACCCCUGCUUGGAUUCAAGCUGUUGUAAUAUUAUUAAACAGAUGUUCAGUUACAGUGAUUUACACCCAUAUUAUGUAUGGAUUAUGAGAUCAUGACUUAUUUUAUGAUCAGACACACUUAGUCUCAAAUCUCCCCUUCCCCCUUCCCCAUAUAGUGUGUGUCCAGGCUGCUGGGUGUGUCUGUGUGUGAGUUUUGGGUUCCAGUUUCUUCUGCAGUGAUUGGCUGUGGGGAACCUGAACCGUUACUGAAUGGAGGGGUGAUGUUCAUAUCUGGCUCUCAGAACCAGCACCUCUCAGUCAUUCAGUACCACUGCAAUGAGCCGUUCUAUAGUCUUUCUGAAGGAGAUAACGGAAACUUCACAUGCUCAUCAGAAGGAAAUUGGAAAAACCACCUGAACAGCUCACUGAUUCCUCAAUGUAUCCCAGUGUGUGGGUGUCCUACAGUGAACCUUCCAGGAUUUUGAAGGAUUUUGGGGGGAAAGCCAGCUCCAGCUGGAUCCUUCCCCUGGCAGGUGUUGCUGAUAGUAAAUGGAAGAGGAGGAGGGAUAGUGAUUGGGGACCGCUGGAUCACGACUGCAGCACAUGUCCUGGGUCAAUUUCCCAUGCGGUUUCCUAUGGUGAGGUAUAUGUUGGGGAAAACAAUGUGGAAAACCUUAUCCAGUCUCCACCUCUUGAGGUCACCCCUCUCCGUAUUCACCCUGAAUACAACAAU